rnacentral:rRNA from 1 species
GUGGGGAAUAUUGGACAAUGGGCGAAAGCCUGAUCCAGCCAUGCCGCGUGUGUGAAGAAGGUCUUCGGAUUGUAAAGCACUUUAAGUUGGGAGGAAGGGCAGUAAGUUAAUACCUUGCUGUUUUGACGUUACCGACAGAAUAAGCACCGGCUAACUUCGUGCCAGCAGCCGCGGUAAUACGAAGGGUGCAAGCGUUAAUCGGAAUUACUGGGCGUAAAGCGCGCGUAGGUGGUUUUGUAAGUUGGAGGUGAAAUCCCCGGGCUAAACCUGGGAACUGCCUCCAAAACUGCAUGACUAGAGUACGGUAGAGGGUAGUGGAAUUUCCUGUGUAGCGGUGAAAUGCGUAGAUAUAGGAAGGAACACCAGUGGCGAAGGCGACCACCUGGACUGAUACUGACACUGAGGUGCGAAAGCGUGGGGAGCAAACAGGAUUAGAUACCCGUGUAGUCC